CGGGAGCCGAGGAGCGGUGGCCGUGGCUGUGGAGUCGGUGCUCGAGGCGUCCUCCCAGCACUUAAUUGUAAAUUAAGAUUUGCUGAUGAUGAUGGGCUAAUUUAAGCUACCGUGGAAAGAGGGAAGAAAUGGAAGCUGCUGAUCGUAGGAAGCAGUACCUGUACUGCGCAGGGUUGCAGUGACCUAACACCAAGAAAUAAAAACUCUGGAAAACUAGCCCUUCACAUAUGGAAGGUAUGAUUACCCCCGGGUAUGGGAGCCCCUGGGAGAACUUUCACUGGGUCCAUGGGUUUAACCUGAGGUGAGAAAGCAGCAGUCACCCAGGAAGGUGGUUGACUUUCAAGAGCACUUGGCAACAGUGAGGGAAGGCACAUGGGGAGUUGCGGGAUGAUGUCAGCAUGUAGUAAGAGGGGAACUCUGAAAUGUCCAAGGCCAGCCCAAGCAAACGGCGCUAUCUCCACGUGGUGCCCUGGUCUGGAGAGGGAAGGAAGAAGGCUAGGCUAUGUUUUGCCAAGCCAAGACUUAUCACAGAGGAAGCUUUCCUCAAUCCCUUCCACUGGUAGCAAAGGCCCUGGAUCCCUGUCUUCUGCCAAGAUGGUGCCAAAUAGCUCAACCAUACAAAGGAAAUGGAUAUAAAACUUAAUUGGGACCCAGAGACAUCUAAUCUCUAAGUUAAAGCACCACUCCUUUUACUCAUAACCAUUGGAGGCAUCCCAAAGUCUAGAAAAGCCGAAAUGACCCUCAAUUCAUAUUCUGGUGUUAUUUAACCCACGCCUCUGGGAGGCGCUCAAGAACAGGAUAAUUUAAUGUCAUUCUCAGCCUGAAAAGUUCCUUAGUUUUCUUUUAAUUAAAUCAGUAAUUAUUUUAAAUGCAUCAUUUCAACAAGAUACCAUAAGUUAGUUGAAUGAAUGCAUGUAAAACCAAAAUGUUGACUGGCAUAAUCCCCAAAUCGAAUUAAUAUUUUAAUCUUAGGUAUAACAUACUUUAUAUUUCAUACCUGGCACGUUCUUAAAUGUGUUAAAUGUGUUUUCCACAACUUGGCAUAACUAUACAUCCACUCAGUUUAUUGGGUGGGGAGGCAGAGAAGAGAACUUUGUUUAAAAACAAAACAAAACAGAACAAAAAACUAUGACUAAAGGAUAGAACUCUACAGCAGACAUUUAGUUUCUACAAUUGAUGCCAAAGGUAGAAGAGAUUUUGAGAGGAAAAAAAAAAAUAGAUGGAUAAUUUCUAAAACAUGUAAAGCAAAACAGCAAAUAUGCAAAUGCAAGGGAAAAAAUACACAACUAGCAGCAUGAAAACCCCAGGGAAACAAACAAGAACAUCAUUGUAAUUGAUAGUAAUUGAACCCCUGCUUAACCUUCCUCCCAAUACCUGAUAAUUCUGUGAAAUCACCCAGCUGUCACGCUUGUCCUUUUAGAAACAUGACAUUGAUUUGUCUAGCAAAGACCCAUCAUUAGAAUUCUGAGGUCUGCUUAAUGGGGCCACUAAUAAAUCUAAGUCAUCAAUUCUUGACCUUUUGUUUCCUGAAAUUCUCGGUAUGUGGUAAACUGCUGAAAACACAUUUUCAAGGUCUGUGACUGUAACAUGAAAAAUAAAGGAUCAAGGCUGCGCUUUGAAGGUCUGAUCAUAUCUGGGCUCUGCCCUGCCUGCACCCCCGAGGGAAAAUAAGUAAGAUGGAUUCGGAACAGCAUCUGGGGGUCAUAUCAAUACCCUCUUUUGGGCUGAGCUAUUUGCAAAUAAAAAUGGACUGUGUAAGACUGAACUACAAAGGGAGAUGUGCCAAGGAGCCAUUGCCCCUUCUUCUGCCUCUCCAUGUUCCCUUCUUCCCCCAUCUGCCUGGCUUUUUACUGCACUGAGAGAUCAGGAAAAAUUCCAGCCAAGAGAGUCUAAACUGGCUAUGCACACGAGGAAAAAGAGAGAGAGAGAGAUUAUCUAGUCUCAGUUUUGGUGACUUUGAAAUAAAAGGUUUGGGUUGGGGAGGGUCAGCUUUUUUUUCAAGGAACAGAAUCAUGGAAAUUUUUUCUUUUUCUGUAAAAGCGAAAUGCUUCUCAACCUUAUUUUUUGCUGGCUGGAUUGAGCUGGUUGUAACCUAAGACAAAAUGUGGGCAGGUGCCUUCAGCUUCCUCUAAAUUCUAAGAUGGCUGCAGGCACCAGAUUCUGACAGUGAUGUUGCUGAGAGUCUAGCCAUAAAGAUAUCUUUCCACACGGUUCUCUCUCCACGUCUGCCUAGAAGGACUAGCCUGCUGCUUCAUUUCCCCCCUCCUCUGCAGCCGAUUUCAGAUGGCUGCAGCAGAGAAAGCGAGACCCCCACACCUUGUUUGUGUGUACCCUUCCUUCCGCACCCCUCUGAGUGCAUUUGGGCUGUGUUGGGGUAACAUCAGGACAGGUGGUUGGCUGAGCUGAUCCUCUCAAAUAUUCAGGCAAACUGGUUGUUUAUAGACAAAACAUCCAGAUGCUUUUUCACGAUUGAACUUUUGACCAAAUUGAUUGUAUGCUUUGGUGUCAAGAAGACAAAAACCCAAGUCAAAAAGGUCCCCAGAACAGGACAUCUGCAGGCAAUGAAUAGUAGGAAGAAUUACAUAUUUCUAGCAGUGAAAAAUGUGAGUUUUUUAGAUUGUGCUAAAUGACUCGAUAUUGACCAGAGCAAAGCUACAAGUGAAAGAAUGGAUCUUUUUAAGGUUAUAUUGUUCCCAUUUAUUUGGCUUUGUGCUGCCAGAAAGUGGCUUGGAGGCUUGCUUUUUAGUGCUCUGUAAAAUGUAAAUGGUCUAAAUUAAGAAGCUAUCUAAUCUCAAACAAUAUUAAUUGUGACAUGAAAAAUGAGACCAAUUCUUCCGACGUUACAAUCACCACCACCUCACAUUAACUGAUCACCUCACUGUGUUUCUCAAAAGCCUGCAUAUUUUCCUUUUCCAAAGUGCCUAUUUUUAAGAGGAGACAAAAAUCCUCAAAUACUUUACUUAUUCUGAUGCUGAAAAUGUGGUCUCCUGAAGUGGGCUUCCUUUGGCCUCCAGGCUCUGCAAACCUCUACAUCUGAUUUGUCUCCCUCCCCCCCCCACCCGCACCCCCACCACCACCGCUGCCUCUGCAUUAAAACUCUUUCUAAAAUAAAACCACUAAGCAGCCACGCGGUCAUAAGCCAGGAUGCUGCUCCUGCAUCUCCCUCCUUCCAGACAGAACUGCCGGACCCUAAUGUUGCUUUCCAGAAGGAAUAGGGGGAAAAUGCAUUUUCACAUAUUUUUUAAGUGUUUUUCCCUAAAUGGGCCCAUUAAAAUCAGCCAGAUCACUGUUCCUCCAUCUCUGUAGCAGGCAGAAUCACCACGCAUGGAGAUAGGAGCAAAUUUGUAUUUCCAGUUGGCUCUGAUGGGGAGAUUGCAGUUGUUCUAGGGAAAGGCGAUCUCUAUCCCUGCAGUACUGCCUCACAAUUUCAAGACCACUGCCUCCUCCCAUAAGAUUCUGCAGAUGUUGCACUUUGCUUGUUAAACCUCUUGCUAAAUGUAAGAAGUAAAGUUGUUUUACUUGUAAAUGUCCGUAAUUCACCUACUGCAAAGCCCUAAGUCCUUGCUGUUUCAUUACCAGCUGCCCAUUAAUAACCAUCAAAUUAGAAGUGUCUCUAGCAGCAUGACAAUUUAGUGAGGGGAAUAAGAACAGAAAAUCACAAAUUGUUCAGAAAAGUUGCUGCAUAGCAGGCCUCCUGGGGCCGGGGCCCGAUGCCCCUUGGUGUUUAGUUCAAGGCCAUGGGGCUCUCUUGGGUGACAUCACUUCUAACAUAGAUACUGUGUAAUUCAGUUACACAAAAGCAGCCCAGACAAGCAGGCUCACAUCAUCUCUUGUGCUCUGCGUAAGUCUGCACCAGAGGCUCUCAACACAGCCUGCACUUCCUGUUGCAUGCCAGGAAAGGGCCCUAAAACCAAGGAGGGAGGUGAAAGGAAACACAAAAUAAUGCACCUUCUUUGUUUUUGUUUUUUUUCCGCCCUCUCUGCUCCCUUCAUCUCUAAGGACUCCACAGCUAACCUGGACUCAUUUUGUUACUUCCCAUUCCCAGGAAGAAAGGCUUUUUCCAGCUGUGAGAGUCUAGGGUUCACUUAUAUCUCUUUCUAAACACUAGCAGCCCAGAAUUCUCAGGCCACUUUUGGGCAUUGUGGCAACACAAUAGGUGCCUCCUGUGGACCCCAUGCCUCCAAUCAGAGCAGGGAUUACCGGCAAGGCCGGGAGGUGGGAAGUCAGUGACAGCGCCGUUCUCUCGUUCUUGCUUGAGCUGACUGUAGCCUCUUAACAUCUGGUGCUCCAACUCUUUCCCCAUUCCUAAAACACGGCUGGCUUCUGCCCAUCAGAGCAUCAGUCCUGGGCUUCCUGGGCUCUGUCCCUUUAUCCUGCUCUGAAGCCCUUAAGUGUCCAUUUCAACCUCACACCUGACUUAGCACCUGACUUUAAAGAAAAACAUCCUUUUCAACAAUAAGGUAUGUGACCACUUGAAACCCCUCCAAGGCUUUCAAAGCUGGUGGAGCAGAGCACAACUAGGAGAACCAGCCCUGGGGUUAAAAUCUCACGGAAGGAAAGGGGGAAGCUAGCAUGUAGCAGGUGGCUCCUUUGGGCCAUCCUAUUCACCAUUUGCCCCUGGCUGACUAGUCCUGGGCCCCCACAGAAUAGGCCACUGGUGCACAGGCUCAGGGAAGGGCUUCUCUCCCCCUCUCCAACUGCAUCUGUCAUUUGGCAGUGACAGCCGCUUUGCACUCUGUACCUUGGCAGCUCACAUCUCUUUCAGAGCCCCCUCCUUUCCCCCCACCACGAGCCUCCUCUGUAAAAACCGGAAAAAAAAAAUCUUGUUCUUUCAUCAUAAUUAAAGUGCUGUCAGGGAAAAUGGCAUGGCUGAGUUUUGCUGCUGUUGAAAUGACCCUCCUCCUCCACUCCUCUUCGCUUCUCUCAUUUGCUAAAGUGGUCCUUUCUCUGCCUGAAAUCAGGCCCUUUGGUGAUGGAAAUUUUAGCUUAAAGCAGAGUUCUAAGCAGAAUCCUAACCCUGCGAGGGUGGGGAGAAAAUCAAUGUUUUGAGCUGGUGUCUGUUUGCAGCGAGGUGCUGGUGAGGCCAUUUUCAUCAGGAGGAACGGUGGUGGUGGCUACUUCUGGGCUUUAGAUCCACGCAAGGUCUCCUAAAUACAAGUCACUGUCAUGGUACACAAUUUAGCAAAACUUGGAGGCUGAUUUUCCCCGUUGACUUAGCUAAGGGUCAGGAGGAAGCUGUUUAGAAGUACAGAGGUUCUGCAUCUGGGAGGGUAAAAUCCAAACGCCUCUCAUGCUCAGAGGGAAAGCAUGCCUGCAUGUUUACUAUCACUGCUGGCCUACGUGCUUGUGUGUCUGAAAUAAAACUGUAACUUAUAUAAUUCGAUGCUCUCCUCCUCACUGAGUGUUACUGAGUCAUGCUUGGGUGGGGGGGUACUUCUUGUGCGUUGUGGACACCGCAUCAUGUAGGGGUCUUUUUAACACCUCAUAUCAUUUUGUGACAAUGUCAU
rnacentral:lncRNA from 1 species